rnacentral:rRNA from 1 species
UGUGAAACUGCGAAUGGCUCAUUAAAUCAGUUAUCGUUUAUUUGAUAGUACCUUACUACAUGGAUACCUGUGGUAAUUCUAGAGCUAAUACAUGCUAAAAACCCCGACUUCAGGAAGGGGUGUAUUUAUUAGAUAAAAAACCAACGCCCUUCGGGGCUCCUUGGUGAAUCAUAAUAACUUAACGAAUCGCAUGGCCUUGCGCCGGCGAUGGUUCAUCCAAAUUUCUGCCCUAUCAACUUUCGAUGGUAGGAUAGUGGCCUACCAUGGUGGCAACGGGUAACGGGGAAUUAGGGUUCGAUUCCGGAGAGGGAGCCUGAGAAACGGCUACCACAUCCAAGGAAGGCAGCAGGCGCGCAAAUUACCCAAUCCCGAUACGGGGAGGUAGUGACAAUAAAUACUGAUACGGGGCUCUUUUGGGUCUCGUAAUUGGAAUGAGAACAAUUUAAAUCCCUUAACGAGGAACAAUUGGAGGGCAAGUCUGGUGCCAGCAGCCGCGGUAAUUCCAGCUCCAAUAGCGUAUAUUAAAGUUGUUGCAGUUAAAAAGCUCGUAGUUGAACCUUGGCUCUGGCUGGCCGGUCCGCCUCACCGCGAGUACUGGUCCGGCUGGAGCUUUCCUUCUGGGGAACCUCAUGGCCUUCACUGGCUGUGGGGGGAACCAGGACUUUUACUGUGAAAAAAUUAGAGUGUUCAAAGCAGGCCUUUGCUCGAAUACAUUAGCAUGGAAUAAUAGAAUAGGACGUGCGGUUCUAUUUUGUUGGUUUCUAGGACCGCCGUAAUGAUUAAUAGGGAUAGUCGGGGGCGUCAGUAUUCAGCUGUCAGAGGUGAA